UAUAUGAUCAUUUAACCAAAGAAAACAAAGUGUUUCAUACAAUAUGAUUUACUCACAAGAAAAAGUCGCUUGUUUUCUGUUUGUGUUAUUAACGCUUUUGGUCGUUGAUAUCCAUGCAAGUAUGACUGUUUGCGCCUGUCAGAAAACACAAGGUCAGUGCAAAAAUAGGGAAACAGAAAAUGGGAGAUGUACCAUAAAUGGAGUGAAUGUCCCACGAUGUUGUAAAACCACUGGUCAAGAUGAUCAUUGCGAUUGCAAACAAACCUGUAGUCCACAAGAGUACCAGAAAGAUGUCUGCUCGACCGGAUACCUGUGCUGUCCGAAAACGUCUCAGUGGUAUAAUCCAGACCUGGGCCACGAGUGGUAGAGCAAACGUUUGUAACGUAAAUAGAAUGAUCAGAUUUGCGUUACAGACGGGCACCAGAAAACCACAAGACAAUAUGAAAUUCAUGAUAAACAUGUAAACAUUCUAAAAUAAAAUAUCACACGUUUAUUGAAUCAUUA
rnacentral:lncRNA from 1 species